rnacentral:rRNA from 1 species
UACGAAGGGGGCUAGCGUUGUUCGGAUUUACUGGGCGUAAAGCGCACGUAGGCGGAUCGUUAAGUUGGGGGUGAAAUCCCAGGGCUCAACCCUGGAACUGCCUUCAAUACUGGCGAUCUAGAGUCCGGAAGAGGUGAGUGGAAUUCCUGGUGUAGCGGUGAAAUGCGCAGAUAUCAGGAGGAACACCAAUGGCGAAGGCAGCUCACUGGGACGGUAUUGACGCUGAGACGCGAAAGCGUGGGGAGCAAACAGG